GUGCUCUUCAGAUCUGUGAGCUGGAGAUUGGAUCACAGCCGGAAGAGUAAAGGUGCUGCAGUAAAGGCUACCUGUGUCCAUUUUGGAUUUUUCACGAGUAGAU